rnacentral:rRNA from 1 species
CCUACGGGUGGCAGCAGUGGGGAAUAUUGGGCAAUGGGCGCGAGCCUGAACCAGCAACGCCGCGUGAAGGAAGAAGGCUUUCGGGUUGUAAACUUCUUUUAAGAGGGAAGAGCAGAAGACGGUACCUCUUGAAUAAGCCACGGCUAACUACGUGCCAGCAGCCGCGGUAAUACGGAGGUGGCAAGCGUUGUCCGGAUUUACUGGGUGUAAAGGGCGUGUAGCCGGGCUGAAAAGUCAGAUGUGAAAUCCCGGGGCUCAACCAAGGAACUGCAUUUGAAACUGGCGGUCUUGAGUAUCGGAGAGGCAGGCGGAAUUCCUAGUGUAGCGGUGAAAUGCGUAGAUAUUAGGAGGAACACCAGUGGCGAAGGCGGCCUGCUGGACGACAACUGACGGUGAGGCGCGAAAGCGUGGGGAGCAAACAGGAUUAGAUACCCCAGUAGUC